GCUGGCGGCGUGGUUAAGACAUGCAAGUCGAACGAGAAGCUCCCUUCGGGGAGUGGAGAGUGGCGCACGGGUGAGUAACACGUGAGCAACCUGCCGGGAAGCCCGGGAUAGCCCUCCGAAAGGAGGAUUAAUACCGGAUGUGGCCACCCUGCGAUUGCGGGGGAAGCUAAAGGAUUUAUUCACUUCCCGAGGGGCUCGCGGCCCAUCAGCUUGUUGGUGAGGGUAACGGCCCACCAAUGCGACAACGGGUAGCUGGUCUGAGAGGAUGGUCAGCCACACUGGAACUGAGACACGGUCCAGACACCUACGGGUGGCAGCAGUCGAGAAUCAUUCGCAAUGGGGGAAACCCUGACGAUGCGACGCCGCGUGGAGGAUGAAGGCCUUAGGGUUGUAAACUCCUGUCAAGAGGGAAUAAGCAAGUGAAGGUACCUCUAGAGGAAGGGGCGGCUAAUUCCGUGCCAGCAGCCGCGGUAACACGGAAGCCCCGAGCGUUGUUCGGAUUCAUUGGGCGUAAAGGGUGCGUAGGCGGCGCGGAAAGUCCGGCGUGAAAGGCAGGGGCUCAACCUCUGGACUGCGUUGGAUACUUCCGUGCUUGAGGACUGGAGGGGAGACUGGAAUUCACGGUGUAGCAGUGAAAUGCGUAGAUAUCGUGAGGAAGACCGGUGGCGAAGGCGAGUCUCUGGACAGAUCCUGACGCUGAGGCACGAAGGCUGGGGGAGCGAACAGGAUUAGAUACCCUGGUAGUCCCAGCAGUAAACGAUGUGAGCUUGAUGUGGGGGGAUUCGAGCCCUUCCGUGUCGAAGCUAACGCGAUAAGCUCACCG
rnacentral:rRNA from 1 species